CACUGAUACUCCCCCUGCCCGCAUUUUCACCUAAACACUAAUGAGUACAGCAGGCCAAUUUAUGACGGACAGGAAGUGAGAUAAAGUGCCAUCACGCCAUGUUGUCCCUUUUUGGCCUUUUUUAUAUUUUCCUUUUAAAAAUAAUGCGAGCCUUCGUAAGACGAAAAAGAAAUUUAGCAAAUACUUUGUUACUUGCCACAAUUGGCUACCUUCUCCUUGCACCGCUCUUCAGGAGGCAACCAUAUGAGGACGCUGCUCAAAUUCAUAAAAUAAGGACAGACUGCACGCCUCGAACCAACUUGUUCUUUUUGAAAACGCACAAGUGCGGCAGCAGCACCGUGCAAAACGUACUGAUGAGGCGUGGAUUACACCAGGAUCUCAAUUUUGUUCUUCCAGACAAAGAUAACUACUUAGGCUAUCCGCAGUAUUUUAACAAAUUAUACGUCGGGGACGGUCUGAUGGACGAUUCGGAGCAAUUCAACAUUUUGGCGCACCACUGCCGAUUUAGCCCUCCUGAUGUGCGCGCCUUGAUGCCGAACGACACGGUAAAGGUGGCCAUCGUCAGACACCCUGUCUCUCUGUUCGAGUCGCUGUUCAAUUUUUACGACCUGGGGAAAUACUGGGGAAGGCAAAAUGCGCUGACGCUCACAGAAUUUUUAUCAAGAACAGAAGAAGAAAUAAAAAACUUGAUUUCCUCCGUGGAUAGAAUGGGCUACCGAAUCGGCCAAAAUCAGUUGGCGUUUGACUUUGGAUUUGAUCCUUAUUUCAUGAACAACCAAUCGGUUUUCGAGCAAUUCGUUCAUAUGCUGGGAGAGGAGUUUCAACUGGUGAUGCUAACAGAAUUCUUGGAGGUGUCCAUGGUGCUUUUGGCCGAUCUGAUGUGCUGGCCCCUCGAUGAGGUGGCUUUCAUCCCCCUAAACGUGCGCACUGACUCCCGUUUGCCUCAACUCUCGCUUCUGCACAAGAGAAAAAUCGAGAAAAUAAAUCAGCAAGACGUCAGCAUCUACGAUUUUUUCCAGGAAGUUUUUAGACUUAAAGUGAAAGAAUACGGAUUUGAACGGAUGGAAAGAGAAGUUUCAAGAUUAGUGGAUUUAAACAACAAACUGCUAUCAGAUUGCGUUGCGAUUUCAGCCGAGACGAAAACAUCUGUUUCGAAUGACAAGAUCAAAAAAUUAACGAUUAGGACGAAUGCACCGCAAAAGUGCCAAUUUAUUUUGAUGCCUGAGCUGAGUUUCACAGAACUGCUGAGGCAAAGGCAGAGGAAUAAAUUCUCGGCCCGAUCCAAGCUGAAAAAACUUCUCGCUUAACGUCGAAUAAAAUUUAUCUUAACAUCUAUGAUUUUGAUUAGUCUUGAUAAAAUUUCCUGCAAUAUUUAGUCAACAAAUUAUUGGAUAAGAUUGUGACAAAGCAAAAAAGUAGUAAAUCAUCAUGAAUGACUUGCAAUCACACCGCUUUUAAUAAAUUUUAAUUGGACAUAUCUUCCGUUGAACAUGCUUUGAUACGACAAGAUAGUUUUAAGAGAUAAACCAACAACAAGACUAUAUAAAGCUGCGUGGCUCCUCAUUUUAACUGACUGCAGGUUUCAUAUCAAUGCAUAUCAAGCGGAAGCAACUCUACGUGCUCACUCUUUCCUUCUUUGCGCUCGUCUCUCUCGUCUACCUCAACGCGAAAAACCGGUUAGAAACGUUGCUGCAUGACGAGUCAACCCUCAGAAAGCUUCCCUUAUUUCAGCUCAACAGGAGCUCAAAUUGCGUACCUUCAGACCACAUUUUCUUCUUGAAAACGCACAAAUGCGCCAGUUCCACCGUGCAGAACAUUCUGAUGCGCCGCGGCUUCAAGAAAGGGUUGAAUUUCGUCUUGCCUGAGAAAGGUAAUUACAUCGGGCAUCCGUAUUUUUGGAACGAAACGAAGCACAUCGGCAAAUGGUUACUAGCUGAGAACGAGGAGUAUGAUAUGUUUGUGCACCACUCACGAUUCACGCCAGACGCAGUGAGAAGAGUGAUGCCGAACGAUUCGAAAUGGAUCACCGUAAUGAGAGACCCAGUUGCCCAGUUCGAUUCAUCGUACCACUACUUCAGUUUGGGAAACAACUGGCUGAAAAACAAAUCGCUUACUUUGAAAAAGCUUCUGAGCUAUGCUACUGAAGAUAUAAUUAAAAUGUGUGAAAAUCGCGUUCGUUACGGCUACGCCUUUGGACACAAUCAGAUGGCUUUUGAUUUGGGAAUGGAUGAAGAGCAAUUUCGAAAUGAGACCGCAAUUGAUACAUUAGUCUCCACGUUGACAGCCGAGUUUGAUUUGGUGCUCGUAGCCGAUUUUAUGCUGAUUUCGUUGGUGUUGCUAGCUGAUCUGCUAUGCUGGCCGUUGGAACAAAUGGCAUUCAUCUCAUUAAACACUAGGGAAACGAGUGCAGUGAGUGAACUGACCGAACUUGAGAGGAAAAAGAUUCUCGAGCUGAAUAAUGUUGAUAGCAGGCUCUACAACCAUUUUCUGAAAAUUUUUAAAGUAAAAAUCGAGGAAUACGGCGUGGAAAGAAUUGAGAAGGAUGUGAUGAGGCUUGCUGCCAUUAAUGACGAUCUGGAAUCAAAAUGCCUGAAAAUCGAGCCUCGAAAGACCGUUAAUUUGUCAGAUGCGACUCUACACAAAAUUGAAAAUAUUGUUUUGCUUCCUAAAGCGCCACUAUACUGUGAGGCUUUCGUUCAAAAGGAGUUGGCAUUCACGGACAUUUUAAGGUGGAGGCAAAGAAAGAAAUUCAAAAUCAAAUCUGAUCUGAAAUAUAUUUUAAAUUUUAAAUAAAAUAUUUACGAAGUUAUAUAAUU